rnacentral:rRNA from 1 species
AUUGAACGCUGGCGGCAUGCCUUACACAUGCAAGUCGAACGGUAACAGGUUAAGCUGACGAGUGGCGAACGGGUGAGUAAUGUAUCGGAACGUGCCCAGUUGUGGGGGAUAACUGCUCGAAAGAGCAGCUAAUACCGCAUACGACCUGAGGGUGAAAGCGGGGGAUCGCAAGACCUCGCGCAAUUGGAGCGGCCGAUAUCAGAUUAGGUAGUUGGUGGGGUAAAGGCUCACCAAGCCGACGAUCUGUAGCUGGUCUGAGAGGACGACCAGCCACGCUGGGACUGAGACACGGCCCAGACUCCUACGGGAGGCAGCAGUGGGGAAGUUUGGACAAUGGACGCAAGUCUGAUCCAGCCAUGCCGCGUGCGGGAAGAAGGCCUUCGGGUUGUAAACCGCUUUUGUCAGGGAAGAAACGCUCUGGGUUAAUACCCAAAGUCUUGACGGUACCAGGAGAAUAAGCACCGGCUAACUCUGUGCCAGCAGCCGCCGUAAGAC